GAGCCAGUUGGAGUGUGGUCAACAAAUUGCUUUGAAGGACCUGAGACACCUCGGUGGGUCCUUCCCGCACCGUCUUUGUGUUGGUAAAAAUCAAUGCUGACUUCCACCACCAUCCCUUCUGCCCUAACCCUGCUCCCCACUCCCAUUUCCCCCUAGGAGAUCUGAGAAUUUAAUCCAUAUGGUUUUGAUUCCCUCACUCAUCAAAAUGCAGUUUUCCAAGAGCCAUUUGAUCUCCAAGAUGUUAUGUGAGUGUCUUUUUGUAUUUUAUUUUUUCCCUUAGAAAAGAAAAGCUGAUGGUUUGCCAAAAGAAAAUGAACUCCAAACUCUUGGGGUCUGAACUGGGUUCAAGCAUCAGAUCCAGGGGAGCCCAGGGGGAUGCUGCUUAGUCAGGGGCCUCAAAUGUUCUCUGCACAAGCCAGAUAGCAAGGAGGAUGUACGGAAAGAGGAGAGAGAGGAAGCUAAAGAGAAAAGUAAAUGAAACCAGAAUGGCCUUCUCCCCAGGACCUCCAUCCCGAGCCUUGCAGCGAGAGUGAAGAAGCAUCUGAGCUGUCCUCCAGGGACGAGCAAGGAAAAGGAUCCCCCAUUUUGGGGAGAAUCACGUGGCAAAACAGGAAAACCAGACCAGCAGAGAGGAGAGAGACCAGCAAUCAGACCCUCCCAGAGACAAUCAUUGUUAACAUAUUGCUGGAUUUCAGUGUCUCACCCCUCUGGAGCUGUGAGGACUUCGACUAGAUUGUUUUCCUUCAAGAAAAAAAAAAAUUCAUGAAUUGCUUAAGGCCCUACAAUUCUUGUUUCAUCUAUAUAUUCCCUAUGUCUGCAAUUAUGACCAGCACACAAUAGGUGCUUACUAAAAGUUCAAUGACUAGAUGACCAGGUGAAUUGUAAUUUCCCCUCUGUUGUCAAUUUUUGUUUACCUGGUUUUUGUUUGUUUUCCCCACUUGUUCUCAUUCUCCUGUGGGAGCAGAGGUUGCAUCUGUCUUCAUGAGGACUAUUUCCCCAGCGCCUAGCGAGGGCCUGGCCCUGAGUCCACUAGGUGGAAGUUGGUUGAAUGAAUGGAUGGAAGAUUGUGGAGCAGAUGCCAGGCCUUACUAGUGCUUGGCCCGAAUACCUACUGCUCGGGGCCUUCUCUGGCUGCCACACCCAUGGGGGCAGCCCCCAUCCUGUGACUGCACUGGGUAUAAAUACCCCGGCUCUCACCCGAGACAUUCUAUGUGACUCCAGAGUUUCCCAGGUGUGAAGUCCCCUUGACUUUCAGAGAUGGCAGAGACUUGAUGAUAUUCUCCUUUUUGGUUGCCUUCUCCCACCUCACUUCUCCAUUGCUGUUUCCUGGAUCACUUACGGAAUAAACAAGUUGCACUUGAACCUUCAUCUCAGGAUUUGCUUCUGGGGUAACCCAAAGUAAGAUGAUAGACAUCUUAUCUCCCAGUGAUGACAACCUCAUCGGGAGAAAUAGUGUAUUUUCCCUCUCAACAUUUUAUUUAGAAGGACUUCAAGCCAAAGAAAAAUUGAAAAAAUAUAUACACUUUCAACCAGUCUCACCAACCAAUAACAUUUCUCCAUAUUUGCUUUAUUUAUCUGUCUCCCUCUUCUCUCUGUUUAUAGAUAGAUAGAUGAUAGGUAGAUAGAUGAUAGAUAGAUAAGAUACAUUAGAUAGAUGAAGCUGUGUGAGAAAGAGAGAGAGUCUUUAUUUUUAUUUUUUGUAGAGAUGGAGUCUUGCUUGGUAGCCUAGGCUGGUCUUGAACUUCUGGACUCAAGUGAUUCUCCUUUUUCAGUGUCCCAAACUGCUGGAUUACAAGUGUGAACCACCAUGCCCAGCCUGAGUCUUUAUUACUUAUUUUAAUUUUCUCAGAGGGAAUUUGUUUUUAUUGACACAGUUGUUCAUGCGAAGAAUCCUGGAUUUCCUCUGGU
ensembl:lincRNA